CUUGAGGCAUGUGCACACCCUUAUCGCGCAUCUACAUCUCACACCUGUGCACAACCUGUAGCUUGGGAUGAUUACAAUACCGGAAACGGUAUUGAAAGCCCUCGCUAUGAAUUUUUAUACAACCAUAUUAAAAGUUAUAGAAUGUUUAAUGUUAUAGCGUGUAACAGCGCGAAUAAAUAUAUAACUUUCAGCAACGGAUCUCUUGGCUCUCGCAUCGAUGAAGAACGCAGCGAAAUGCGAUAAGUAAUGUGAAUUGCAGAAUUCAGUGAAUCAUCGAAUCUUUGAACGCACCUUGCGCUCCUUGGUAUUCUGAGGAGCAUGCCUGUUUGAGUGUCAUGAAAUUCUCAACUGCUUCAGCUUUUACGGUUGAAGUGAAGUUGGAUUUGGAGGAAUAUUUGCUGGCGUGACCUUUUAUAGGUUGCUUGUCAGCUCCUCUUAAAUGGAUGAACUUUCCGGUAGUAAAGUAACACCAAUGUGAUAAUUAUCUACGUUGGAUAAGCUUGAACAAGGAAAGAUGAAACCUGUCUUGGAGGGAAAACCCCCUUGACGAAACAAAUGACAAAUUUGACCUCAAAUCAGGUAGGAUUACCCGCUGAACUUAAGCAUAUCAAUAAGCGGAGGAAAAGAAACUAACAAGGAUUCCCCUAGUAACUGCGAGUGAAGCGGGAAAAGCUCAAAUUUAAAAU
rnacentral:rRNA from 1 species